UACAGAGGGUGCGAGCGUUAAUCGGAAUUACUGGGCGUAAAGCGUGCGCAGACGGUUGCGUAAGUCAGAUGUGAAAGCCCCGGGCUCAACCUGGGAAUUGCAUUUGAGACUGCGUAGCUAGGGUGCGGAAGAGGGAAGCGGAAUUUCCGGUGUAGCGGUGAAAUGCGUAGAUAUCGGAAGGAACACCAGUGGCGAAGGCGGCUCACUGGACUGGUAUUGACGCUGAGGUGCGAAAGCGUGGGGAGCAAACAGG
rnacentral:rRNA from 1 species